GUGAAGUAGAAUAAUUGUUUAUAACAGUUGAGGAGCUACAAGCGUUAAUACACGAUGAGGUUCAUCCAGUGCGCGUUCCUGUUCAUUCUCGCGAUGUUAGUGGUUGAUAUCACGGCAUGGCCACAACCACCGUAUAAUGAAUGCUACACUGAAUACGACUGUCCAAGCGGAUGUUACUGCGGCUUACUACACGACAACCUAAGGCAUUGUCUAUGCACAGGCUUGAAACCCUGGAAACAUAAAUCACAUUAGUAUUUUCGAAAAUAUAUUUUCAAAAUAUUAAA